GGGCCUAUAGUUUAGUGGUAGAAUGCUGGUCUCCAAAACCAGCGGCCGAGGUUCGAGUCCUCGUGGGCCCG
rnacentral:tRNA from 1 species